rnacentral:rRNA from 1 species
GACGAACGCUGGCGGCGUGCUUAACACAUGCAAGUCGAACGAUGAACCCGGAGCUUGCUCCGGCGGAUUAGUGGCGAACGGGUGAGUAACACGUGAGUAACCUGCCCUUGACUCUGGGAUAACUGCUAGAAAUGGUAGCUAAUACCGGAUACGACACCUUGGGGCAUCCCAGGGUGUGGAAAGAAUUUCGGUCAAGGAUGAGCUCGCGGCCUAUCAGCUAGUUGGUGAGGUAAUGGCUCACCAAGGCGACGACGGGUAGCCGGCCUGAGAGGGGGACCGGCCACACUGGAACUGAGACACGGUCCAGACUCCUACGGGAGGCAGCAGUGGGGAAUAUUGCACAAUGGGCGAAAGCCUGAUGCAGCAACGCCGCGUGAGGGAUGAAGGCCUUCGGGUUGUAAACCUCUUUUAGCAGGGAAGAAGCGAAAGUGACGGUACCUGCAGAAAAAGCACCGGCUAACUACGUGCCAGCCGCCGCAGUAA